GGGGGUGUAAUGGUUUCGACUGAUUGUUUGAAGACCAAGCUGCGUGUCGAGGUUAAUCGGUUGGCCUCGUAAAAAGCCGAUUAAAAAACAAAUGCAAAUAACGAACCUGAACUUGCCCUGGCUGCCUAAUUGAGCGGCCACGCGACUUGGCCGACGUCUGCUGAGUCAAGUCGCGCCAUUUAGCAGACUGGUCUUGCCGCGGGUGUCCGGCGGUGGAGACGAGAGGUUACAGGGCAAUCGGAGGGAACGGAUUCUGUCGAUCGAAGCCGCCCCUCCUAGAUUAAAGGACCGACUAGGCACGUAGAGGUUUGGUUAGAUGGCUUUUAGGACAGGGGUUCAACUCCCCUCACCUCCACUU
rnacentral:tmRNA from 1 species